AACUGUCGUUAUUCAACUAUGACAAGGUAAAAUCGGUUUUGCAGUCAAUUGCCCCUUUAAGCCAUACAAAGCAGGCCCUGGCAUGUGCAGCCACCAGUUCCUGGGGGUGUUGACUGAGCACACAGCAUACACAGACCACAGCUAGCCGUGACAGUGACUUACAAUGGUUGGGAAUUGGGGGUAGUAUAUUGACCAGUCUGGUUGGGUGGUGGUGAGCCUCAGGCUAAGAUUAAGAAGACUACUGAUUGCUACUGGAGCAUAUGCUAUCUAUGCACUCACUAGCAGACAUGCACCCCCCAGCCUCCAGUGACCUUUAGAUAGAGACACUGAUAUCCAACCAGUGAUAUUGGAUUAAAAAAGGAAGGCCAUCGCAAGCGUCUAAUCAAAUUGGGCCUAAAAACUUCGGUGGGAGGAUAUAAGUGUAGGAGUACUAUAUUGAACACCACUCUUCAACCAUACUUUAUAGAAGUAUAUAAAUGUGAUAUAGGAGGGAUAUACUUACAUGCAGAAUUAACACAAAGUGAGUUCUAUAUGUUGAGACCCAGCUAGGGGAGGGGGAGGGGGGGGUGUUAGCAGCUGAGUGGAGGAGAAAAUUGAGGAGUACUUGUCUUUCAAGCGUCCCUCUCUCUACUCAGAGCUGGACUUCUGUGUACCACGUCACAGAGUCAGAGUGGUUGGUCAAUGGAAGAGCAAGGCGAUGCGUGCCGCCGUUUGAAUCUAGCCUAGAAACUAUGAAUGUCAACAAAACUCCUCAAUAGGUGCAUGAACGGGAUAAACGGUUUGAAGCAUUCCACUACAGAGUUUGUGUGUAUAUUCUUUUCGCUCAGCCUGGGUUGAUGAAUGGGACAACCACAUUGACCAACGCUCAUAUACAUUUUACUUUAUCUCACUCUCUUGCCCUCACACAAAUACACACACACUGCCGUAAAAUGGCUUGUUUUCACACUGCAUAAUCAGGGCGGUCUGUGGCCCAACACCAAGGCCCUCAGGAGCGUGCUGUGAAUGAGCUAUAAAGAUAAAUGUUCUGAUUGAUCCCAUCUGGAUUUCUAGCAGGCUCCCUGUGGACACGCUGCAGAAACAGGACCAUGCUGGGCUGGGACACACUUCAGGAUCUAAUCUCCAUCAUCUCGUGCCUGGCAGCAAAAGGGAGUUAGAUUAACUAACUAAAGUUCGGGAGGAAGAUAGCGCACCAAGACUCCUCCUCCACUCCAAUCAAGCAACUCGCAAAAGCACGGAAAAACUCCCCGUAUCAAUUACAAGGUUCCCCGGGGGGAUCGAUCGAGCCGCCGCUCAGCCGUGACCCUUAAGGGCUCUCCGCCACACCCCAAGUCCAUACCCAGAACCCAGGCCUGGCUCUGCUACCGGCCUCCACCAGCACCAGGCUCG